rnacentral:rRNA from 1 species
UACGUAGGUGGCAAGCGUUGUCCGGAAUUAUUGGGCGUAAAGCGCGUGCAGGUGGUUUCUUAAGUCUGAUGUGAAAGCCCCACGGCUCAACCGUGGAGGGUCAUUGGAAACUGGGGAACUUGAGUGCAGAAGAGGAAAGUGGAAUUCCACGUGUAGCGGUGAAAUGCGUAGAGAUGUGGAGGAACACCAGUGGCGAAGGCGACUUUCUGGUCUGUAACUGACACUGAGGCGCGAAAGCGUGGGGAGCGAACAGG